ACAAAUCAAUCACGUAAUUGAACGAAAAGAAACGAGUAAACCCAGAAAUGUUCGAGCGUCGAUCCGACUCAUUCCUACUGCAGGAGUCACGCAUCUGACAGUGGCAGUGGCAGACUCGGGCCCUGGCAGAAGCACGGCGUCUUCAUGGCACGUUCAUAUACCCUGGAUUAUUUGGUCAAAGGCCAGACAUGGUUCCUUGCGAUACUAAGCUCUUCCCAAAGCUCAAGGCAUCGCUGGAAAGGUUCAGAGACCCAAGGGGACGUGAUAACUGGCACCAUGUCGGGGUUGGUAGCGGUGUAUAAACUCACCUGAACACAUUCACAGCUUUGAAGGAUCGCUGGAUGAAGUUACGAAGGACCUACUUCCAUGCCGAUUAGAGGUGGAACUUUACAAUGAAGAGAACCAAGUGGGAUGGUCUGCCACUGAUGACAUCCACUAGGAAAUAGUAAAAAGCUGAAUGACAGAGUAUCGCAACAACCUGUGCUGCCUCCACUGCCGCUUGUGUGAUGACCUGCCCCCAUCUGUUGCGAGCGUCUUCCGAGUGGGCAGCCAAGUGGAGAGUCAUUCCCCCAAACUUGGCAACAGUGAAGGAGAAUGGCUUCCCCAUCUCAGCAAGGGAGUGGACACUGUAGUCCAGCAAGUGUACUGCACCCAGAGGAUGUUGUUCCUGCAUCAUAGACAAACUGUGCUUACUAAGGAAUCACUAAGCUGUUUCAGUAAGAUAAAAAGAUCAGAAGUAAAUGAAGGUAGGAGUAAUGGUAAAGGAAAGAAAAGUAAACUAGUUGUUUGAUAGGAAAGAUUUGAGAGAGGGUGUGUGAGGGACUGAUGGAAGCUAGGAUGAAAAUUGUAGAGGGAACAGAUUUUGAUGAUGUAUUUAGUCUGUUUUAAGGGAACAGUAAAAAUAGUUGAACAUGGAGUUGUUUAGCAUAAGCAAAAGGAAGCUAAAGAGGAUGAAAGGAGAGGUGUGAAGAGAUAGAGGAAAUGAAGGAAAA